rnacentral:rRNA from 1 species
UGGGGAAUAUUGGACAAUGGGCGAAAGCCUGAUCCAGCCAUGCCGCGUGUGUGAAGAAGGUCUUCGGAUUGUAAAGCACUUUAAGUUGGGAGGAAGGGCAGUAAGCGAAUACCUUGCUGUUUUGACGUUACCGACAGAAUAAGCACCGGCUAACUCUGUGCCAGCAGCCGCGGUAAUACAGAGGGUGCAAGCGGUAAUCGGAAUUACUGGGCGUAAAGCGCGCGUAGGUGGUUCGUUAAGUUGAAUGUGAAAGCCCCGGGCUCAACCUGGGAAAUGCAUCCAAAACUGGCGAGCUAGAGUAGGGGAGAGGGUGGUGGAAUUUCCUGUGUAGCGGUGAAAUGCGUAGGUAUAGGAAGGAACAACAGUGGCGAAGGCGACCACCUGGGCUCAUACUGACACUGAGGUGCGAAAGCGUGGGGAGCAAACAGG